GUGGAAAGUGCUGCGGCGGCGGCGGCGGCUGCGAUCGGUGCCAGGCGGCAUCUGGGAAACCACAGUCAAGUCUCUUCUCCACAUUUUCCCUCUUUCUUCUUCUGACUCCUGACGGACCCUGCUGCUUCCCUGUGUGGACCCUGGAGAGUGGUGGUGUGCCUCCUCCUCUUGCGGCUUGGUUGCUCUAAAGAAACUGGCUGAGUUGUAGCUAUAGCCAGGAUCAAAGUGAAGAAGAAAUUUCUGUCUCGUCUUGUGUUCUUGACACUCAUAAAAGUAGCAAACAGAAUGGUCCAAAGGGUGUCUUCUGUUCACUUUGAAUUCACAGUACAAUAGCUGCCUUUGCUUUGAGUGCUAUCCAAUAUAAGCCUGAAUUCUGGCCCUGGCAACAGGCUAACUGAAGGAUCCUGAACAAGGCACAUCACUUUCCUGUCUCUUGGUUUGUUCAUUUGUAAACUGAGGGGAUGGGCUAGAUUGUUAUUUACCAUAUUUAAUGAUUUUAAUGAAUUUUCCCAUUUAGUAAUACAAGGCUGAUAAGUAUUAUCUUCAUUUUAAAGCUGAAAAACUGAGGCUGAGGGAAAUUACAUCAGUUA